rnacentral:lncRNA from 1 species
AUGUGAAACUUGGUUAUAUAGUGGUAUGAAACUGGGUUAUAAGAAAAUGGAUUCACUUAAUAUGUUAUGCAACAGUAGACUUUGCAUUGGUCAAAUAAAGUGCAUUGUGCCAAAUGAAAAAUAUAUUAUGCCAGAUUGAAAUAUAUUAUAUCAAAUUGAAAUGUAUCAUGUCAAAUAGUUCCAACAGAGGUUUGGAAAUUUCUUGACAACUAUAUAUACUACUGUGAUUAUGUAUGAAAUCGUAUGUAACAUAUCAAAUUAUGAGUAUAUACCUCUUGAAAUUGCAUGUAUCACUUGAGAUGGGAAUAAUUAUGUACGACCUCAAUUGUCAUCACAACAUCUCAAUAACAAAUUAUCUGUUGGGAUGCGAGGAGUUUUAUGUAUGCAUUUCAAAAAUUUUUCAGUGAAAAAAUAUUAGAUUAAACUAUUUAAUCUAUAAAUACAUACAUAAGAUCUGAUUUUAAAACUCCUAUAAAUGGAUCUAUGAUAUUAAUUUACAUGCAUAAAAAUUUGAAUUUAAAAUAACAAAAAUGUAAAUAAAAAUUUAGCACACUAUGAUAGAUCUAAUCUACCACUGUGAGGGGUCCGAACCAAAUAUCUGAGCACGGAUAGUCAAACUUCAUGAUUGAGAAUAUGAAUCUAGAAGUCCUUUCUAGUUG